rnacentral:tRNA from 1 species
GAAAAUUUAGUUUAUUCAAAAAUAAAUGUUUUGAAAACAUUAGAAGGGGGAUCCCAAUUUUUA